GGGGCAUUAGCUCAUCUGGCUAGAGCGUUUCGUUCGCAACGAAGAGGUGGGCGGUUCGAGUCCGCUAUGCUCCA
rnacentral:tRNA from 1 species